rnacentral:ncRNA from 1 species
ACUAAAGUGUAGAAGAGGAUAAGUAAAAAAAGGAUGCUUUAAAGAGAAAACCAUCACCGGCUGAAAGUGGUUUAAGCCUCUCGUUUUUUGAAAUGCACCUCUGAGCCCUGUUUCGAAAAGAGUCAACUUCUAGUAGAAAUGGGCGGAACCUAUCCGUUAACAGGUAGAGUGAGACCCAUAUUAAGCUUUCCGUUACCAAAACGAGCUUUUCGGUCUAAUCAGAGUGGAACCGCGCAUAAGCGUCUCUGUC